AUACGUGCGCCACUCAACUGAAGAGAAAUGAAGCUGGCCUGGUUACAGCACAGCAAUUAGAUUUUAGAGCACAACAAGCUUUAGGUUACAUCCUUUUUGCUUAUCUGAAGGGAUUACAAAACGCCUUGUCUAAUUGCAACAAAUGCCUCAGAAAUCCGAAAACUGAGUUCGCCACGUUGAGUUAACUAAAUAAUUCCACAGUCAUCAACGACAAAUGAAUGCGUACAGCAUUAUUCGCAAUAGUGCAAUGGAGAGCGGAGUUCAAGCCUAAUAUAAAAUAGCUAAGUACACGUGUUAACAAAAAAAGGUAGCAAGGUUUUUUUUACCGAAAUCCUGGAAAUAUUCUCUUGUUGAGGAGAUACAUCAUUGCUUAGAUACAAAUUUAGCCUUUGCGCCAACCCUCCUCAUUUCUUUCUCUGUGAAAUAUUUUUUAAAAUGUAGCCAAUUUACUCCGGGACACAUACGGGAGAUUGUUUAACAAUGGGUACUGUGUAAAUCAUUUUAUUGUAGUUUCAAAUCUGUAGCUAUUGCAAAUAGUACAAAUUACUCAUAAUUUAUUAAAAUGAUUCGGACAUAAUUUUAAAAGAAAUGUUGCAAGGGGAAACUGGUAAAACUGAUGGCCAGCGUUUUUUUUAAACGUAGGCCGAAUCCCCUUUUCGUUGCUGUUUUGAAACUGGGAUGCACGAGAAAAUGAAUCGAAACUUACGCCGUUAAGGUCGAGAAUUAUACGCUUUCGUAAAAUUAGCUGGGAAUGCAAUCCAUUUGAAGUGAUAUUUCUGUAGUCGCUUGUACAAUUUCACUUUUCGUUACCGAAUAGUGAUUUCUUUAACCAAUGAAAAAGAAAAAAACUCUGAAAUCCUUCUUCUGGAACCCCACUCCAAAACGUAGAUGACUAUGAUAGUAGCAUUCAACAUCAAUCUAUUGCCCAAACAUCAUAUUUUACAGAUUAGAGAAAUGGGCAUCACUGCAACAAAGGAGAAUGCAGAUGCCAAAAUGGUGUGUGCUUGUGAAAGUUAUAGUUGCAAUCGAUGUGAAUUUUAAUAGAAAAUCGUUCACAUUCUUCACGCAAGUCGUUUAAAGUCGAAAGUUCCACUUUGCCUCUAUUUUGUAAUAAAUUUCUAAAAUGUUAUAUGGAAUCGUUUAUUUUGAAUUGAUUAAAUGCUUACAUCCGUUUGAUUUAGAGCGUUUUUUUUAAUUUAAGAUUAUAAUUGUUAAGCUUGUACUUUGAAAUUAGUCCAAAAAGUCAGGCUACAGAUAGUACUAUUAUUCACGUUUUCAAAAUGUGAUCUGGCUAUGAAAACUUAUGACUUUUCUUAUAACCGAUUUACAGCGAAUCUGUUCUCAUUUACAGUUUUUUACAUUGUUACAGUGGAGCGACAGCACCGCCUAGUGGACCAUCCAAUGAAGUACACGUGAAAACGCAUUGAGACUUCUUUGGUUUUUCACGGAAUCAUUCAAGAACUAGUUGACAUGCUUGUAAAGAAACGAAACACAAAAAGGAGUUCCAGUGAGAUCUCAAUAAAUGCUAAAGGUUGCUUUACAUAUAAUUAUUCAGUACUGUCACUGAAGUUUGCUUGAUGUGUAGUGCACUUUGUAAAAAAAAUCUCAGCGUCCAUGGCUCUCCCAGUGAAUCUACACGUUUAAAGUUGAUGACCUAAGCCAAUAGGUUUCCCCGUCGAUGAUAUUGUUAUUGAACUAGAUAUGCGGAUUAAUCGAUAUAUAAGUUUGCCUUAUGGUGAAGUGUACUUCACUGCACUACCUAUAUGUAUGUUUGGGAAUAGAUAAGUUUGUCCAAACUCAAGAAACAAAGACGAAUUGAUUGUCUUCGCUCCUUUGACCAGUAUCUGCGUUUUUGUUUGUUAUUAACAGCCAAAAACAUCUGAAUUGGUUGAUUUCAAAGAAGUCUGCAAUUACAUGAAGAAAACUAUAAAGUCAUUAGGUCAGACGUCUAGCCAGUUGUGGGGUUUAUAGUACCCCGUUCCUUCCGGUUCUAAAGUACUGUAUGUAGAAUUGUGGCAAUAGAUGGCGUUGUAAUUCAACACCUUCUGAGCACUAAAGUUUUCAGAAGAUUCUCCAAAAAGAAUGAAGGUCUAGUUUUACAAGGACCCGCAAUUGUUUUCAGUCUGAAACAUUAAUGAGAUAGUGGCAUGAAAUAAAGUGUUCUGUGACCACUUAGGUGUAUAAUGAUUAUAAACCCGCACUAGGGUUUUGCCAGCAAUGUGUGCUUAGUUGUUUAUUUUUAUAUCUUUAACUAAAGCACCUAGUGUAUUUGCAACUAUGAAUCAUUCCAACGUGCUAUGUGUCGGAUACCGCGACAAUAAUAUAAAUAACUUAUUGUUCCUACAACAGACGAUAAACUAUCGACAUUUUGCGACACAACCGAUCGAAAGUAACUUCCUUCGAGCAAAUACCAACUCACAUACUAAGAAAAUAAUCGAAGUCUAUUGAUUAAAAAUGUCUUAAUUUUACAAAAUACUUUUGAGUUGCAUUUGCUAUUGGACUACAUGUGACAGUAUGCGUUUGGAUGAUAAUUGGUAGUUAUUAAAAUUCAGGAUUCCGGAAUUGUUUUUACAAUUUAUACCAACCAGGAGUCUUCUUCCUUCACGAGGUCAAUACUA